rnacentral:rRNA from 1 species
AACAAACGCUGGCGGCGUGCCUAAUACACGCAAGUCGAACGGGGAAAGCUUUCGGGUGAGUACUAGUGGCGCACGGGUGAGGAACGCGUGGAUAAUCUGCCUUAGGGUGGGGGAUAACUAGUCGAAAGAUUAGCUAAUACCGCAUAAGACCACAGGAGCUGCGGCUCUAGGGGUCAAAGGUUUUUCGCUCUAAGAUGAGUCCGCGUAAGAUUAGCUAGUUGGUGAGGUAACGACUCACCAAGGCGACGAUCUUUAACUGGUCUGAGAGGAUGAUCAGUCACACUGGAACUGAGACACGGUCCAGACUCCUACGGGAGGCAGCAGUAGGGAAUAUUGCACAAUGGAGGAAACUCUGAUGCAGCGACGCCGCGUGAGUGAUGAAGGCCUUCGGGUCGUAAAGCUCUGUCGCAGGGGAAUAACACAAUGAAUGUACCCUGUAAGAAAGGAUCGGCUAACUUCGUGCCAGCAGCCGCCGUAAUAC